rnacentral:ncRNA from 1 species
AUUACGGACUGCUAAAUAAACAAAAGUAGGAUUUAAGUAAUUGAACUCAAAAUUGGGUAUGCUGAAGUAAUAA